AUGGCUGAGCACGUGAUUUGGGGACAGAUUAAAAAGUCUUCCUCAUGUGAACAAUUUGAAUUAUUUCACGAAUAUGUUUUUUUUUCAAUACUUACAGCCUUGCCCUGGAUUCUUCAUGGACUAAGACGGUAUGAAAAUAAAGCCCAGAAGGAGAACCUGGAGGUAGUUCUGUUAAAGGGCAGAAAACCAGAAUGGCGGUUGCUUAAUCUGACAGACAGGACAGCCAAGAGCCAAGUUCACAUCCUAGCCAUACAUUUGGAAGUCCGGAUCCUACCCACAUAAUUUAGGCACCUGAAUGAUAGAUAGUCUUACGUCUUGUAGUCUUUGAAUAAAAGGGGUGCAAAAGUAGCUCUUGUAAGUACC
rnacentral:lncRNA from 1 species